UACGGAGGGUGCAAGCGUUAUCCGGAUUUACUGGGUUUAAAGGGUGCGUAGGCGGUUCUGUAAGUCAGGGGUGAAAUCUCCGAGCUUAACUCGGAAACUGCCAUUGAUACUAUAGAUCUUGAAUAUCCUGGAGGUGAGCGGAAUAUGUCAUGUAGCGGUGAAAUGCUUAGAUAUGACAUAGAACACCAAUUGCGAAGGCAGCUCACUACGGGAUUAUUGACACUCAGGCACGAAAGCGUGGGGAUCAAACAGG
rnacentral:rRNA from 1 species